AGUGGUUUACCAGAUGGCUUCCAUGGAGUUUCUCAACCUCCACCAAAUAGGGAAUUGCCAUUGACAGCAAGUAAACAACCUGAACACCAACUGCCGCCAACGUAAACAUCUUAAGGUAGCAUGUGUCUCUGCUACAUUCAAAACUUCGGCUGCAGUUGUCAGGCUGGGUUAAAGGUCAUGAAGCAUCCAGUGACGGGUGGAAAUGAAGACCACACAGCUUGAAGAGAUCAGGUUGAAGAGGGAGGACAUAUUUAACUUGUGGGUCAUAGGUCAAACUCUCUCCCUCUACCUUUCCAUCUCCCCCGCUCUCUUUCACUCUCACCUUUCUCCUUCCCCUCUACCCCGCUCUUUCUAUCACCCCACCUCUCUCUUUCUUCACCUACAUGUAUACUCCUGUCUUUUCCUCUUCUGACCCCCCCCACCCCUCUCUCUCCUUCAUUCUCAUCCUCUCUCUCAGCCUGGCUGUUAUUUCUCCAUAUGUUUUGACUAUGUGCUACCUGAGCUGGUCUGUGCUGUUGGGCCUGAGGCAGGUCUCUGGCAGGCAGCAGUGUCAAGUUGGAGGGAGGCUUGGUGGUCUGUGUGUGACAUGGAGAAGGGCCCACCGGCACCGCAGCAGCCCCGCUGAGGCCAGGUCUACAGCUGUCCCACCCUGCCAGGGCCUCUGCUUACAGUCACUGAAAGGAUGGAUGGAGAGAAGAUGGAUGGAUGGAUAGAGGAUCGAGAUUAGAGAUGGAUAAAUAGAGGAUAGAGACUAGAGAUGGAUGGAGAGAGGAUGGAUUGAGAAAGGCGUGGGUGUAGAUGAAUGGUGAGUGGGGGUCCUGCAGUACUAAAAGCCGGUGACCCAGACCAUACACACCCACUCACAGGGACCUAACACCACUCAGAGGACUGCUCCUUGGUCCACUGCUACCACAUGCUAAAACACUUAGAUACAACACACACACACACACACACACACACACACACACACACACACACACACACACACACACACACACACACACACAGAGAUAGCAAAAUGCUAAAUGUGAAGUUCACAUUCAAAAUACAUCCCGAGACACAGACUACCAGUCAGAGACAUCAACACACGCUCUUGUGUGUGUUGCCAUGCGAUGGUGAUGAGCUGCACAUGACAUGAGUGGGGCGUGGAGCCCAACCUCUUAUCAGACAAAGGAGAUACACAGAGAAGAGAGAAGGAGGGNNNNNNNNNNGCACUGUAGAAUGUAGAUUGGCCUACAGAUGUUUUGGUUAGAUACGCACUGUAGAAUGUAGAUUGGCCUACAGAUGUUUUGGUUAGAUACACACUGUAGAAUGUAGAUUGGCCUACAGAUGUUUUGGUUAGAUACGCACUGUAGAAUGUAGAUUGGUCUACAGAUGUUUUGGUUAGAUACGCACUGUAGAAUGUAGAUUGGCCUACAGAUGUUUUGGUUAGAUAUGCACUGUAGAAUGUAGAUUGGCCUACAGAUGUUUUGGUUAGAUACGCACUGUAGAAUGUAGAUUGGCCUACAGAUGUUUUGGUUAGAUACACACUGUAGAAUGUAGAUUGGCCUACAGAUGUUUUGGUUAGAUACGCACUGUAGAAUGUAGAUUGGCCUACAGAUGUUUUGGUUAGAUACACACUGUAGAAUGUAGAUUGGCCUACAGAUGUAGGAUCUUAAAUUUAGAAUAACACUUUGUUCGUCCAGGAUGGAUGUUGUUGUUCUUUGGCAUCACCUUCCAUUAAAAGGAUCACAUACAUUUUCACAUCAUACACAUUUAAACCAGUCAGUCCAUCACAUUUCAUACACUAAAAACAUAGUGGACAUUGAUAUGUUCGCUCACUCACUGGAUAGAGAAGUGCAUAUACAGAUACAAUUUACUUUGCAUUUAGUAGUCCAUAGGCACAAGGAACAAAGGAAUGUUUGAACACGUUCUUCCUGGCUAUGGGCAUUCUGAAGCGGCGGCCAGAGGGAAGUCUCUCAAACUGAGGGUGUAGAGUGUGGGAGGGGUCGGCAGUUUGCUACAGCAGGAAAAUAAUCCUGGAGAAAAAGGAAAAUGUGAAUUAUUAUGUGGAUUAUAAUUACAUUUACAUUUUUGUAGGGGUUGAUAGAUUUUUCACAAGGAAAAAUAA
rnacentral:lncRNA from 13 species